UUUUACGGAGAGUUUGAUCCUGGCUCAGGACGAACGCUGGCGGCGUGCUUAACACAUGCAAGUCGAACGAUGAUCAGGAGCUUGCUCCUGUGAUUAGUGGCGAACGGGUGAGUAACACGUGAGUAACCUGCCCCUGACUCUGGGAUAAGCGUUGGAAACGACGUCUAAUACUGGAUAUGACU
rnacentral:rRNA from 1 species